CAUGUCUUUUUGAUUAUAAUUUAAAGUCUGACCUGCCCUAUGAAUUAUUUUUAAAUGGCUGCGGUAUUUUGACCGUGCAAAGGUAGCAUAAUAAUUAGUUUUUUAAUUGGGAACUGGUAUGAAUGGUCGAACGAGAAAAAUGCUGUCUCAAUUUAAUUUAAAUUAGAAUUUUAUUUUUAAGUAAAAAAGCUUAAAUAAUUUUAAAAGACGAGAAGACCCUAUAGAGUUUUAUAUUAAUAUAGGUUUUUAAAAGUUAAAGAAUUUUAGAUUUAGUUAUUUAUAUUAGUAUUUGGUUGGGGCAAUUAAAAAAUUAAAUAAAUUUUUUUUAAAUUUUAACAUUGAUAUAUGAUUAAGUGAUCCAUAUUUUAUGAAUAAAAGAUUAAAUUACCUUAGGGAUAACAGCGUAAUUUUUUUUUAGAGUUCUUAUCGAAAAAAAAGUUUGCGACC
rnacentral:rRNA from 1 species